rnacentral:rRNA from 1 species
UACGUAGGGGGCUAGCGUUGUCCGGAUUUAUUGGGCGUAAAGAGCGUGUAGGCGGCCAGGUAGGUCUGCUGUGAAAACUCGAGGCUCAACCUCGAGACGUCGGCGGAAACCAUCUGGCGAGAGUCCGGAAGAGGAGAGUGGAAUUCCUGGUGUAGCGGUGAAAUGCGUAGAUAUCGGGAGGAACACCAGUGGCGAAGGCGGCUACCUGGCCUGUUCUUGACGCUGAGGCGCGAAAGCUAGGGGAGCAAACGGG